rnacentral:rRNA from 1 species
GAUGAACGCUGGCGGCGUGCCUAAUACAUGCCAGUCGAGCGAACGGACGAUAAUCUUUCUUCUCUGAUUUUAGCGGCUGACGUGUGAGUAACACGUGGAUAACCUACCUAUAAUACUUGUAUAACUUCGUGAAACCGGAGCUAAUACCGGAUAAUAUUUUUAACCGCAUGGUUCAAAAGUGAAAGACGUUCUUUCUUUCACUUAUAGAUGUAUCAGCGCUGCAUUAGCUAGUUGGUAAGGUAACGCCUUACCAAGGCAACGAUGCAUAGCCGACCUGAGAGGGUGAUCGGAGAAACGGGAAGUGAGACACGGACAAGAAUAAUACGGGAGGAAGCAGAAGGGAAUAUUGAGCAAUGGGGGAAAGCAUGACGGAGCAACGCAGCGUGAGUGAUGAAGGUCUACGGAUCGUAAAACUCUGUUAUUAGGGAAGAACAUAUGUGUAAGUAACUGUGAACAUCUUGACGGUACCUAAUAAGAAAGCAACGGCUAACUACGUG